rnacentral:rRNA from 1 species
AUUGAACGCUGGCGGCAGGCUUAACACAUGCAAGUCGAGCGGGGUGAUGGUGCUUGCACUAUCACUUAGCGGCGGACGGGUGAGUAAUGCUUAGGAAUCUGCCUAUUAGUGGGGGACAACAUCUCGAAAGGGAUGCUAAUACCGCAUACGUCCUACGGGAGAAAGCAGGGGAUCACUUGUGACCUUGCGCUAAGAGAUGAGCCUAAGUCGGAUUAGCUAGUUGGCGGGGUAAAGGCCUACCAAGGCGAGGAUCUGUAGCGGGUCUGAGAGGAUGGACCGGCCAGAUUGGACUGAGACAAGGGCCAGACUCCUACCGGAGGGAGGAGGGGGGAAAGUUGGAGAAAGGGGGGAACGCUGAACCAGCCAUGCCGGGGGUGUGAAGAAGGGCUUAUGGUUGUAAAGCACUUGAAGCGAGGAGGAGGCUCUUUUGGUUAAUACCCAGGAUGAGUGGACGGUACUCGCAGAAUAAGCACCGGCUAACUCUGUGCCAGCCGCCGCCGUAA